rnacentral:lncRNA from 1 species
ACUGUCCCAAUGCUUUACCGGCUAACAAUACUCCAGACUACAGUUUUGCAUUAUUUCGACUCCAAUUCGCGCUGAGCAAUGCUAAAACCCUUCUAACUCACUUUAAACUCAACUCUAACUAUUCCAACAUUAUUAGAAUGCCAAAUGGACUUUGUCCAACUAUUUCUCUCACAUACUUUGAUCAAUUUGACUAAAGUUCGAUAUAGUCUACCGAAGUUUCAGUAUAUUACACCGACCAUAGUACCGGUUCCCAACACCCAGUACCGGUACCAAAUACCCCAAAUUGCCAAACCUGAAAGCAACUACUCUCUGGCACGUGAUGGGGUUCCGGUACCCUACCCAAGUACCGAUACUCUGCACCCAAAAACCUAAAUUUACAGAUUUUGGUGCCAAGGACUCCUUUUCGCAUUCUCGGAACAUGAGUAACAGGUUGGUACUUAGUCAACGGCCUUCAAAAACACCAGAAAUAGCGCAAGGCACUAUUCUAACAAUAGAACCUUGCUAUUUGCUAAAGUUCAGUGUGCUACAACAUACCUAUUAGACAGCAAAUUUGUAAGGUUACAGAACUUAAAUAUAGAAUUAGACAAAAUUAUAAUCACAAAAAAUCACUAAAUAAUACAAUACAGAGAAAAGAACAUAACAAAAAUGAAUAAAAUCAGAUGAUGAUCCACGGAAACCAACUUAACAUCUACAUAACUAUAUAGACAAAAUAAUAAAAAAAAACUAACUCAAACGACAAACUAUGCCUAACAUUCACUCGAUUCGACCCUCACCCGGAAAUAAGGUCUCGAAAUCUUGGUAAGCAACCAUACACCACAUUAAUCGAAUUAAGCAUGCAAAAUAGAUAAUUUUUUAAAUAAUCAAAUAUAAUCUUCAUACUAAAAAUAUAGUAGUGAUGACUAAGUUUCACAAAAAAAUUUUAGAAAUUUGAAUCUUAAACACGAACAUCUACAUAACUAUAUAGACAAAAUAAUAAAAAAAAACUAACUCAAAUGACAAACUAUGCCUAACAUUCACUCGAUUCGACCCUCACCCGGAAAUAAGGCCUCGAAAUCUUGGUAAGCAACCAUACACCACAUUAAUCGAACUAAGCAUGCAAAAUAGACAAUUUUUUAAAUAAUCAAAUAUAAUCUU